UGGGGAAUUUUGGACAAUGGGCGAAAGCCUGAUCCAGCAAUGCCGCGUGUGUGAAGAAGGCCUUCGGGUUGUAAAGCACUUUUGUCCGGAAAGAAAUCCUUGGCUCUAAUACAGUCGGGGGAUGACGGUACCGGAAGAAUAAGCACCGGCUAACUACGUGCCAGCAGCCGCGGUAAUACGUAGGGUGCAAGCGUUAAUCGGAAUUACUGGGCGUAAAGCGUGCGCAGGCGGUUUGCUAAGACCGAUGUGAAAUCCCCGGGCUCAACCUGGGAACUGCAUUGGUGACUGGCAGGCUAGAGUAUGGCAGAGGGGGGUAGAAUUCCACGUGUAGCAGUGAAAUGCGUAGAGAUGUGGAGGAAUACCGAUGGCGAAGGCAGCCCCCUGGGCCAAUACUGACGCUCAUGCACGAAAGCGUGGGGAGCAAACAGGAUUAGAUACCCCUGGUAGUCCACGCCCUAAAACGAUGUCAACUAGUUGUUGGGGAUUCAUUUCCUUAGUAACGUAGCUAACGCGUGAAGUUGACCGCCUGGGGAGUACGGUCGCAAGAUUAAAACUUAAAUGAAUUGACGGGGUCAUAGCUGUUUCCU
rnacentral:rRNA from 1 species